rnacentral:rRNA from 1 species
AGGAAGAGACAUCAAACGAGAUUCCGUAAGUAGUGGCGAGCGAACGCGGAAGAGGCCAAACCGAGAGUAGUAAUACUUUCGGGGUUCGGACAGAAUACGGCAUUGUAAAGGUUUAGUGGAAUGGAAUGGGAAGUCCAACCGAAGAAGGUGAGAGUCCUGUACACGAAAAGCCUGAACAGCCAUCUGUAUCCAGAGUACCGCCGGACACGUGAAACCCGGUGGGAAUAUGGGGGGACCAUCCUCCAAGCCUAAAUACUACUCGGUGACCGAUAGUGAAGAAGUACUGUGAAGGAAAGGUGAAAAGUACCCCUGACGGGGAGUGAAAAAGAACCUGAAACCUUGUGUUUACAAGCACCGAAAGCUCAUCAAAGAGCGAUCGGGUACCUUUUGUAGAAUGGUCCGGCGAGUGAAUGUAACCGGCGAGGUUAAGCACUUAAGGUGUGAAGCCGCAGCGAGAGCAAGUCUGAAUAGGGCGUAUGAAGUCGGUUGUAUUCGACCCGAAACCGGGUGACCUACCCAUGGUCAGGUUGAAGUGGAAGUAAAAUUCCAUGGAGGACCGAACCGACCUCCGUUGAAAAGGCGGCGGAUGAAUUGUGGGUAGCGGAGAAAUUCCAAUCGAACUCGGAGAUAGCUGGUUCUCCCCGAAAUAGCUUUAGGGCUAGCCUCAUGUUAGAUAUCCGGAGGUAAAGCACUGAAUGGCCUAGCGUCCGAGAGGAUAGCGAAGCCUAUCAAACUAAGAAUGCCGGAAUAUUGAUGCAUGGGAGUCAGACAGUGUGAGAUAAAUCUCAUUGUCAAAAGGGAAACAGCCCAGAUCUACAGCUAAGGUCCCAAAUUGUAUCUAAGUGGAAAACGAUGUGGAAAUACGCAGACAACCAGGAUGUUGGCUCAGAAGCAGCCACACAUUCAAAGAGUGCGUAAUAGCUCACUGGUCGAGCGUCUCUGCGCGGAAAAUUUAACGGGGCUAAGAUACAAACCGAAGCUUAGGCUGCACUUUUAGUGCGGGGUAGGGGAGCGUUGUGUAAGCGGAGAAACAGUAGCGUAAGCGGCUGUGGAGUUUACAGAAGUGAGAAUGCCGGAAUGAGUAGCGCGAAUGAUGUGAGAAUCAUCAUGGCCGGAAACCUCAGGUUUUUGGAGGAAGGUUCGUCCGCUCCAAGUUAGGCGGGAGCUAAGGUGAGGCCGAAAGGCGUAGCCGAUGCACAGACGGUAGAGAUUCCGUCCCCACCGAAAGAUUUAAGCGCAGGGACACUUUUAGAAGGUCGGAGCCAGGUGUUGGUUCUGGUAGAGAUCGAGGGAAGAUUAGUACCGAAGUCCGGCUGGAUAAGAGGCGAGAAAAGCUGCGUGUAUAUCUAAGGUGCCCGUACCGCAAACCGACACAGGUAGGUAGGAAGAAGAUUCUAAGGCCAACGGGAGAAGGGUUGUUAAGGAACUCGGCAAGUUGACCCCGUAACUUCGGAAUAAGGGGUGCUCACGAGAGUGAGCCGCAGAGAAUAGGCCCAGGCAACUGUUUACCAAAAACACAGGUUUGUGCUAAAUCGAAAGAUGACGUAUACGAGCUGACGCCUGCCCGGUGCUGGAAGGUUAAAAGGAGAUGUGCAAGCAUUGAAUUGAAGCCCCAGUGAACGGCGGCCGUAACUAUAACGGUCCUAAGGUAGCGAAAUUCCUUGUCAGGUAAGUUCUGACCCGCAUGAAAGGCGUAAUGAUCUGGGCACUGUCUCAACAGCCCGCCCGGCGAAAUUGUAGUACCGGUGAAGAUGCCGGUUACCCGCGACAAGACGGAAAGACCCCAUGGAGCUUUACUGUAGCCUAAUAUUGGGUUUCGGUGUUGCAUGCACAGGAUAGAUGGGACGCUGGGAAAGAAGCGCUUUGGCGUUUCUGGAGCGGACGUUGGGAUACCAUCCUUGCGACAUUGGAAUUCUAACCUGCGCCUUUGAAUCAAGGCGGGGGACAUUGUUAGGUGGGCAGUUUGACUGGGGCGGUCGCCUCCUAAAGAGUAACGGAGGCGUUCAAAGGUUCGCUCAGCUUGAACGGAAAUCAAGCAAAAGAGUGCAAACGCAGAAGCGAGCCUAACUGCGAGACUGACGGGUCGAGCAGUAACGAAAGUUGGAGUUAGUGAUCCGGUGGUAUGUGAGUGGAAAUGCCAUCGCUCAACGGAUAAAAGUUACCCUGGGGAUAACAGGCUGAUCUCCCCCAAGAGUCCACAUCGACGGGGAGGUUUGGCACCUCGAUGUCGGCUCAUCGCAUCCUGGGGCUGAAUUCGGUCCCAAGGGUUUGGCUGUUCGCCAAUUAAAGCGGCACGCGAGCUGGGUUCAGAACGUCGUGAGACAGUUCGGUCCCUAUCUGUUGCGGGCGUAAGAGAUUUGAAGGGAGCUGUCCUUAGUACGAGAGGACCGGGAUGGACGUACCUCUGGUGCACCAGUUGUCCUGCCAAGGGCAUAGCUGGGUAGCUAUGUACGGACGAGAUAAACGCUGAAAGCAUCUAAGCGUGAAACUCUCCCUAAGAUGAGAUCUCUCAUCCUUUAUGGAGUAAGGGCCCAGAAAGACGAUCUGGUUGAUAGGCCGGAGGUGGAAGUACAGCAAUGUAUGCAGCUGACCGGUACUAAUAGCCCGAGGGCUUGACCUA